rnacentral:rRNA from 1 species
GAUGAACGCUGGCGGCGUGCCUAAUACAUGCAAGUCGAGCGAACAGACGAGGAGCUUGCUCCUCUGACGUUAGCGGCGGACGGGUGAGUAACACGUGGAUAACCUACCUAUAAGACUGGGAUAACUUCGGGAAACCGGAGCUAAUACCGGAUAAUAUAUUGAACCGCAUGGUUCAAUAGUGAAAGACGGUUUUGCUGUCACUUAUAGAUGGAUCCGCGCCGCAUUAGCUAGUUGGUAAUGUAACGGCUUACCAAGGCGACGAUGCGUAGCCGACCUGAGAGGGUGAUCGGCCACACUGGAAUGGAGACACGGUCCAGACUCCUACGGGAGGCAGAAGUAGGGAAUCUUCCGCAAUGGGCGCAAGCCUGACGGAGCAACGCCGCGUGAGUGAUGAAGGUCUUCGGAUCGUAAAACUCUGUUAUUAGGGAAGAACAAAUGUGUAAGUAACUAUGCACGUCUUGACGGUACCUAAUCAGAAAGCCACGGCUAACUACGUG